CCUACGGGGGGCAGCAGUGAGGAAUAUUGGUCAAUGGGCUUACGCCUGAACCAGCCAAGUCGCGUGAGGGAAGACUGCCCUAUGGGUUGUAAACCUCUUUUGUCAGGGAGCAAUUGGCGCUACGUGUAGCGUUAUCGAGAGUACCUGAAGAAAAAGCAUCGGCUAACUCCGUGCCAGCAGCCGCGGUAAUACGGAGGAUGCGAGCGUUAUCCGGAUUUAUUGGGUUUAAAGGGUGCGUAGGCGGAAUGCCAAGUCAGCGGUAAAAUCGCGGGGCUCAACCUCGCUCCGCCGUUGAAACUGGCGGACUAGAGACGGCGAGAAGUACGCGGAAUGCGCGGUGUAGCGGUGAAAUGCAUAGAUAUCGCGCAGAACUCCGAUUGCGAAGGCAGCGUACCGGCGCCGGACUGACGCUGAGGCACGAAAGCGUGGGUAUCGAACAGGAUUAGAUACCUGGUAGUC
rnacentral:rRNA from 1 species